rnacentral:rRNA from 1 species
CGUGCCUGCCCAGUGAUUUUUUUUAACGGCCGCAGUACCCUGACUGUGCUAAGGUAGCAUAAUCACUUGCUUUUUAAUUGAAAGCUAGAAUGAAUGGCUUGACGAAAACAUUACUGUCUCUUUUACAUUAACUAAAAAUUAAUUUUUAGAUGAAAAAGUCUAAAUAACCUCAAAAGACGAAAAGACCCUAUCGAGCUUAAAAAAAAACUUUAAUUCUAACCCGCUAGAUAAAGUAAGAUUAAAAUUUAAUUUUUUGUUGGGGCGACAGAAGAACACACAAAGCUUCUUUUAAUUUUAUAAACAAAUAAGUUUAAAAGAUCCACUAAUAGUGAUUAAAAGAAAAGUUACCGUAGGGAUAACAGCGUAAUUUCUUUAAAGAGCCCAAAUUGAAAAAAAAGUUUGCGACCUCGAUGUUGGAUUAAAAAAUCUUUUUGAUGCAGCAGUCAAAAAAGAAGGUCUGUUCGACCUUUAAAUUUUUACAUGAUCUGAG